AACGUAGGAGACAAACGUUAUCCGGAGUUACUGGGCGUAAAGGGCGUGUAGGUGGUUCUGUAAGUCUGGCGUGAAAUUUCUCGGCUUAACCGAGGCAGGUCGUCGGAUACUGCAGGGCUAGAGGACGGUAGAGGCGUGUGGAAUUCCGGGUGUAGUGGUGAAAUGCGUAGAUAUCGGGAGGAACACCAGUGGCGAAGGCGACUUCCUGGCCUGUUCUUGACGCUGAGGCGCGAAAGCUAGGGGAGCAAACGGG
rnacentral:rRNA from 1 species